AGUGAACGCUGGCGGUAGGCCUAACACAUGCAAGUCGAACGGCAGCACAGUAAGAGCUUGCUCUUACGGGUGGCGAGUGGCGGACGGGUGAGGAAUACAUCGGAAUCUACUUUUUCGUGGGGGAUAACGUAGGGAAACUUACGCUAAUACCGCAUACGACCUACGGGUGAAAGCAGGGGAUCUUCGGACCUUGCGCGAUUGAAUGAGCCGAUGUCGGAUUAGCUAGUUGGCGGGGUAAAGGCCCACCAAGGCGACGAUCCGUAGCUGGUCUGAGAGGAUGAUCAGCCACACUGGAACUGAGAAACGGUCCAGACUCCUACGGGAGGCAGCAGUGGGGAAUAUUGGGCAAUGGGCGAAAGCCUGAUGCAGCCAUACCGCGUGGGUGAAGAAGGCCUUCGGGUUGUAAAGCCCUUUUGUUGGGAAAGAAAAGCAGCAGGUUAAUACCCCGCUGUUCUGACGGUACCCAAAGAAUAAGCACCGGCUAACUUCGUG
rnacentral:rRNA from 1 species